UACGGAGGGGGCUAGCGUUGUUCGGAAUUACUGGGCGUAAAGCGCACGUAGGCGGCUUUGUAAGUCAGAGGUGAAAGCCUGGAGCUCAACUCCAGAACUGCCUUUGAGACUGCAUCGCUUGAAUCCAGGAGAGGUCAGUGGAAUUCCGAGUGUAGAGGUGAAAUUCGUAGAUAUUCGGAAGAACACCAGUGGCGAAGGCGGCUGACUGGACUGGUAUUGACGCUGAGGUGCGAGAGCAUGGGUAGCGAACAGG
rnacentral:rRNA from 1 species